rnacentral:rRNA from 1 species
CACGGCGCACGGGGGCGUAACACGUGGGCAAUCUGCCCUCCGAUGGGGAAUAACCCCGCGAAAGCGGGGCUAAUUCCGCAUAACAUUCCUUGGACCAACGUCCGAGGAUUCAAAGCAGCAAUGCGUCGGAGGAGGAGCCCGCGCCCGAUUAGCUAGUUGGUGAGGUAACGGCUCACCAAGGCAAUGAUCGGUAGCUGGUCUGAGAGGAUGGCCAGCCACACUGGAACUGAGACACGGUCCAGACUCCUACGGGAGGCAGCAGUGGGGAAUCUUGCACAAUGGGCGAAAGCCUGAUGCAGCGACGCCGCGUGGGGGAUGAAGCUUCUCGGAGUGUAAACCCCUUUCGACUGGGACGAAUGCCUCGCAAGAGGAGUGACGGUACCAGUAUAAGAAGCCCCGGCUAACUACGUGCCAGCAGCCGCGGUAAGACGUAGGGGGCCAGCGUUGUUCAGAAUUACUGGGUGUAAAGGGUUCGUAGGCGGUGUGGCAAGUUGGGAGUGAAAUCUCUGGGCUCAACCCAGAGGCUGCUUCCAA